GCCAACACACUUUUCCUCUUCUCCUCAGAGCCACUGGCAUCCUGGAGAAGGGGAGUGAGAGGAAAUGAAAACGCAGAUGGUUAGAAGCAUACUGGAUCUGGAAAUGGUUUCACCUCCCCCUACUCCCAACCCUGCAAGACCCAAAUGAAGAAGGCAACCCACCGCAAGGGGCACUACAUUGCCCUGCCUGCAAGCCUGCAUGUGAAUAAAACCCGUCUUUCCGUCAA